UUAAGCCCCAGUAAACGGCGGCCGUAACUAUAACGGUCCUAAGGUAGCGAAAUUCCUUGUCGGGUAAGUUCCGACCCGCACGAAAGGCGUAAUGAUUUGGGCACUGUCUCAACAAUGCACCCGGUGAAAUUGAAAUACCAGUGAAGAUGCUGGUUACCUGCGCCAGGACGGAAAGACCCCAUGGAGCUUUACUCCAGUUUGAUACUGGGAUUCGGCAUGGUAUGUACAGGAUAGGUGGGAGACUGAGAAGGUAUGACGUCAGUUGUACCGGAGUCGCUGUUGGGAUACCACCCUUACCAUGUUGGAUUUCUAACCUGUGGCCGUAAGCCGGUCAGGGGACAAUGUCAGGCGGGGAGUUUGACUGGGGCGGUCGCCUCCGAAAGGGUAUCGGAGGCGCUCAAAGGUUCCCUCAGAAUGGUUGGAAACCAUUCGAAGAGUGCAAAGGCAGAAGGGAGCUUGACUGCGACACCGACGGGUGGAGCAGGUACGAAAGUAGGACUUAGUGAUCCGGUGGUAUGAAAGUGGGAUUGCCAUCGCUCAACGGAUAAAAGCUACCCUGGGGAUAACAGGCUUAUCACUCCCAAGAGUUCACAUCGACGGAGUGGUUUGGCACCUCGAUGUCGGCUCAUCGCAUCCUGGGGCUGUAGUAGGUCCCAAGGGUUGGGCUGUUCGCCCAUUAAAGCGGUACGCGAGCUGGGUUCAGAACGUCGUGAGACAGUUCGGUCCCUAUCCGGCGUGGGCGUAGGAUAUUUGAGAGGAGCUGUCCUUAGUACGAGAGGACCGGGAUGGACUGACCUCUGGUGUACCGGUUGAACCGCCAGGUUCACGGCCGGGUAGCCAAGUCGGGAAGGGAUAAACGCUGAAGGCAUCUAAGCGUGAAGCCCCCCUCAAGAUGAGAUAUCCCAUUCGAAAGAAGUAAGACCCCUUGAAGACGACGAGGUAGAUAGGGCAGAGGUGGAAGUGCCGUAAGGCAUGGAGCUGACUGUUACUAAUCGGUCGAGGGCUUGACCUG
rnacentral:rRNA from 1 species